ACUUCCCUCCAACCGUGUUCAUCAUUUCUCUCUCUCUUUUCUUUCUUCUCUAUUUGUAUAUCUCUCUUUUCUUCCUCUCACUCUCUCAAUCUCCUUUCUCAUUUCUUCUUCUCUUUUUCUUUGCCUUUCAACUCCGAUUCUGUGCGCCUUUCUUUUCUUCUUCUCACUCUUAACCUUCUGUCUCAUUUCUUAAAUCUAUUAGAAUGUACUUUUAAUCUUCUUCAUCUUUAUGGAUCUGUCAAUGAAUAACUUUAUGUAACCCAAAAUCUUUGUGAUGGUUUAUGGGUUUAACAUUUUUGCCAUGUGUUCUUCCGACUUUGUUGUUUCAAAAUGGACUUGAGGUGCACAAAGUUACUAAUGCAUGCAAGGAUGUUCUAAGAGGCUAAAAAACAUGCACAUGAUAGUUGGAUCCCUCAUUCUACUUAUGAAUAUGGCUAAACGGACCCUUCUUAUGAGACAUGAAACUUAAAUUAACUCAAAUGCGUACUGGUGACACAUAAAUGUAUGAAUCUCGACAUGCUAUUAGUAUAUUAAUAUUAUUAUUUUCCAUCUAAUCUCGGUUUCAAAUUUCCAGUUUUGUCAAAGUCUAUUUCUGUAUGUUUUUAUUCUGUCACACUAUUCUAAAUUAGUGCAUUAUUGUCAUGUUGAUUGCUGAAUCCAAAACAUAUCAUGUAUCAAGGAUCUAACUUCUCUAUAUGAAGGUGUGGAUCUAACUUCUCUAUAUGAAGUUGCUACUAUUGAGGAUAUAUGAAGAUGUUACUAUUAAGGGAUAUAUGAAGAUGCUACUAUUAAGGAUACAUGAAGCUACUUGAUUUAAAAACUUGUAUUUUUUCAAUGACAUUUAUAGUCCCUAUGCUAUGUACUAUAAUAGUAUCAAAUAAAUUAAUAUAAUAUUAUGAAUAUUUAA